UACUAUAGCUUGACACUGAACAUUGAGCCUUGAUGUGUAGGAUAGGUGGGAGGCUUGGAAGUGUGGACGCCAGUCUGCAUGGAGCCGACCUUGAAAUACCACCCUUUAAUGUUUGAUGUUCUAACGUGGACCCGUGAUCCGGGUUGCGGACAGUGUCUGGUGGGUAGUUUGACUGGGGCGGUCUCCUCCUAAAGAGUAACGGAGGAGCACGAAGGUUGGCUAAUCCUGGUCGGACAUCAGGAGGUUAGUGCAAUG
rnacentral:rRNA from 1 species